UACGUAGGGUGCAAGCGUUAAUCGGAAUUACUGGGCGUAAAGCGCGUUCAGGCGGUUUGGCAAGUCGGGCAUGAAAUCUCUCGGCUCAACCGGGAGAGGUUGUCCGAUACUGCUGGACUUGAGGGCAGUAGAGGGUGGUGGAAUUCCGGGUGUAGUGGUGAAAUGCGUAGAUAUCCGGAGGAACACCAGUGGCGAAAGCACUCUGCUGGGCCGACACUGACACUGAGAGACGAAAGCUAGGGGAGCGAAUGGG
rnacentral:rRNA from 1 species